GUGUCACUUCCCCCCAUGUCGCGCGACGCUUCCGGCGGCGCCGCCCCGCCCGUUCCGCCGACGGCACUUCCGGGAGCGGGGCCGUGCCGCCGCCAUCUUGGGCGGGCUCCGGGGCUGCGGCGGCGGCGGCGGCGGAGCGGGUCCCUCCAUGGGAAGAUGCAGCGGGCGGGGCCGGAGGAGGCGGCGAGGGCGCAGGCGGCGGCGGGGGGACCCGGGCGGAGCGGCGCCGAGGUGGCGGCGGCCCCCGCCGGGCGGCUCCUGAGGCGGGAGCUGCGGCUGCUCGAGUCCAUCUUCCACCGCGGCCACGAGCGGUUCCGCAUCGGCAGCGCCUGCCCGGACGAGAUCAGCUGCGAGUUCGUGCCGGGGGCCGGGGCCCGCGCCGGCGCCUCUGCCUCCCGGGGGCCGCCGCCGGGGCCCGUCCGCAUCCACUGCAACAUCACGGAGUCUUAUCCAGCUGUUCCCCCCAUCUGGUCUGUGGAGUCAGACGAUCCCAACCUGGCAGCUAUCCUGGAGAGGCUGGUGGAAGUCAGGAAAGGAAACACCUUGCUUUUGCAGCACCUGAAGCGAAUAAUCUCUGACCUGUGCAAACUCUACAACCUCCCCCAACAUCCAGAUGUUGAAAUGUUGGACCAGCCUCUGCCGGCUGAACAGAGCACCCAGGAGGAGGUGUCCUCUGAAGAGGAAGAUGAAGAGAUGCCAGAGGACACUGAGGACUUGGACCACUAUGAGAUGAAAGAGGAAGAGCCGGCAGAUGGGAGAAAGACGGAGGAUGAAGGCAUUGGGAAGGAAAACUUGGCCAUUUUAGAGAAAAUAAAAAAGAACCAGAGGCAAGAUUACUUAAAUGGUGCAGUGUCUGGGUCUGUGCAGGCCACUGACCGGCUAAUGAAGGAGCUCAGGGAUAUUUACCGAUCACCAAGUUUCAAGGGCGGAUACUAUGCAGUUGAACUAGUGAAUGACAGCCUGUACGAUUGGAACGUCAAACUCCUGAAAGUCCAGAGAGAGGUGCAGCAGGCAAACCCUGAGCUUUCACACCCUCCAGACACCAGUGCUGCCUUUUCCUUGGGCCAGGCAGCUUUUAUUUUUAAGCUGGCAGCAUGGAAAAGGGGUGUGAUGGUCUUCUCUGCAAACCAGAAGCAGAAUGCUGGGUGCUGCCCACGUGGCUGCCCGGCUGUGCAGGGUUGACGAGGACAGCGCUUUGCACAACGAUCUUCAAAUCCUCAAAGAGAAAGAAGGAACAGAUUUCAUCCUCCUCAACUUCUCUUUUAAAGACAACUUUCCUUUUGAUCCACCAUUUGUAAGGGUUGUAUCCCCGGUGCUGUCAGGGGGGUAUGUUCUGGGUGGUGGUGCCAUCUGCAUGGAGCUGCUUACGAAGCAGGGCUGGAGUAGUGCCUACUCCAUCGAGUCGGUGAUCAUGCAGAUCAGUGCAACGCUGGUGAAAGGGAAGGCACGAGUACAAUUUGGAGCCAACAAGAACCAGUACAGCCUGACAAGAGCACAGCAGUCCUACAAGUCCCUGGUUCAGAUCCAUGAGAAGAAUGGCUGGUAUACACCACCCAAGGAGGAUGGCUAGUGUGGAUGCUGCAGGACCAAUCUGAAUAUCUUCUGGAUGCUCUACUUGGAUCUUAGUGAUGCCUCUUGGCUUUCUCCCAGGAUGUAAUAGCUCUGCCUGUUGCAGGACAAUACUGGCUGUUCAAAACUCUAAAUAACUGUUUAAGGAGUUGGACUGACCCAGAACACUUGCUGGGCCCAUGCUAGCAGGCAUUCUUAUUAAAACAAACUCUUGAGCCUCUUGUAUUGCUGGAAACUUUUGACUCUACUCCAGUCUAGAGCAUCCUCCUUACCUAUGCUAUGGAUUUAAUUUAUUUUCUUAUUUCAUGUACACUGCUUUUUUUUGUUACGGUGUAUGAUGGAUGUGUAUGGAAAAUGUAUCUUUGGAGAAAAAUUACAGUUUGUUAAUUUGAGAAUGCUGGUCUAACUAAUUUUUUCCAAGCUCCUGCUGGGUGGGUUGUGCCCUGCAAACCCUGCUGCAGCCCUGGUCCCAGGGUGAGGCAGUCGGUGGAGCUGUGGUUGCCCAAGACUUGGUGCAACCACCUUGGGAGAAGAAAAGCCCUUUUGUGUUUUGAAGGGAGCAGGGUUUCUGCCCCAUCUUCCCUGGGCAAACCCAGCUUUUCUGUAUAAACUGCAGACUUACACCUCGAAGCACAGCAGGGGAGAUCUGAGGCUGCCCUCUCCUGCAGUGGAGGAAGGGUCUGUGGGUGCAUCCCACACUUCUCCCUGUCCUCUUGCUGAGCAGUAAGCUGAGCUGAGGCCUGAGCUUUGUCCUGUUUCUCCCCACCAGCCACGCAUGGAGGCUGAGCCCUUUGUCCCCAUCCCUGCUGUGGCUGCAAGCUUCUGCAGGGAGUGGAGCACGGGGCUCUGUCCUGCCACUGCCCCCUCCCUGGCCAGGACCUGUUCCAGCAGUGAACACCCCGUUCUAUGGGGUUUUCUUUUACCCCCCUUAAGCUGUUCCUGCUCGCCUCUGUACCCCAGCCCCCCGUGGAGGGGGUUGCUGCAGUUGUGGCCUGUUUCCCUGAAUCCCCACGGCCCUGUUUUGAGUCAGCUGGAAGGAGAUUUGGGCUGUUGGAGCUCCUUAACUCGGGCCACGUCCUCGUCUGGAGGACAGAAGUGUCAAAGAUGGAACCAUGCGUAUUAAUUCACUGUGUUUGAAUAAAAGUCAUUAGAAAAUCAAA